AGGUGCUGUGCUCUCAGCCUCUGCUCACACCUGAAACAGCAGCCCACCUUGUCUGGAGGAGGCUCUAUGGUUGUUUUACCCAGUUGGUGCAAGCUCCUCAUUAUUUGAAAGUGAUUUGCAGAAAAAGUGCUAUUAGGAAAAUGAGGCUGAUGGCGCUUGAGGAAUUUGCCACCGAGGAGCUCUGGGAGGCAUUCACUUGCAGUGAUGGUGGCUCUCCAAAGGUGAUGAAUGGCGUUCAUUUGGCUUAGGACAGACAGCCUCCAGUUUGUGUCU